ensembl:lncRNA
CGAGAAGUGGAAGCAAUCCUUUUUGUCGUCUGGUGCUUAGACACCAGAGACAGAGGGAUGAAUGCUGGGAAAAGCACAAAGGCUGCUGUUCACAAAUCUGUGCGAAAGCGCCGCAUCGCAGCGAUGGUACUGUUCUCAGCUGUGCUGCUGUCUGCACUGUUGUUGGCCUGUGGUGCUGCGUUAUGGAUGUGCAAAAAAUACCUAGUGUGCAAGAGAGAAGAAAGAGCAGCAGAACGAGCUCUUCCUGAUACCAACUGAGAGAGUGUUCCAGCUGGAGAUGAGGGCAGAACGGAGCUGGGAGAGGCAACAAGAGAGACUCCUGCCCAACCAAACCAGAAUCUCAACAAUAGUUCCAGUCCAUUCCAUUCUACCAUCCAAGAUACCAAAGGUCUUCAAAGUCAUCUGGAAGACCUGGAGCGUGAACUCAAAGCCAAAAAAGAAGUCCACGGGAACAGUCCUGAGUGCUGCUUUCUGUCAGAGGACAGCCCUGAAGCUGAGAGCGGAGAAUCAGCAGCAGAGCCUUUGUCCUUCACCCUGCAUUCUCCAGGACAAGUAUCAGCAAUAAUUCCAAGAUUCUUAGCUCACCAUAGCUACAGUCCUUUUGAGGGUCGUAGUGAGAACCCAGAAAGUGAGCUUCCUCUGACUGCUGGACAGUAUUGUUUAUUGUCUUUGGAG